CGCGGCCUAUCAGCUUGUUGGUGAGGUAACGGCUCACCAAGGCAUUGACGGGUAGCUAGUCUGAGAGGACGAAUAGCCACACUGGGACUGAGACACGGCCCAGACUUCUACGGAAGGCAGCAGCAGGGAAUCUUGCACAAUGGACGAAAGUCUGAUGCAGCGACGCCGCGUGGGGGAUGAAGGCCCUAGGGUCGUAAACCCCUUUCAGCAGGGACGAAAAUGACGGUACCUGCAGAAGAAGCUCCGGCCAACUACGUGCCAGCAGCCGCGGUAAGACGUAGGGGGCGAGCGUUGUCCGGAUUUAUUGGGCGUAAAGAGCUCGUAGGCGGUUGCGUAAGUCGGAUGUGAAAACUCAGGGCUCAACCCUGAGACGCCAUCCGAUACUGCGCUGACUUGAAUCCAGUAGGGGAGUGUGGAAUUCCUGGUGUAGCGGUGAAAUGCGCAGAUAUCAGGAGGAACACCUAUGGCGAAGGCAGCACUCUGGGCUGGUAUUGACGCUGAGGAGCGAAAGCAUGGGUAGCAAACAGGAUUAGAUACCCUGGUAGUCCAUGCCGUAAACGUUGGGCACUAGGUGUGGGGACUUUCAACGGUUUCCGUGCCGAAGCUAACGCAUUAAGUGCCCCGCCUGGGGAGUACGG
rnacentral:rRNA from 1 species